rnacentral:rRNA from 1 species
CCUACGGGAGGCAGCAGUAGGGAAUAUUGCUCAAUGGGGGAAACCCUGAAGCAGCAACGCCGCGUGGAGGAUGAAGGUUUUCGGAUUGUAAACUCCUUUUGUUAGAGAAGAUAAUGACGGUAUCUAACGAAUAAGCACCGGCUAACUCCGUGCCAGCAGCCGCGGUAAUACGGAGGGUGCAAGCGUUACUCGGAAUCACUGGGCGUAAAGCGCGCGUAGGCGGGAUAGCAAGGCAGAUGUGAAAUCCUAUGGCUUAACCAUAGAACUGCAUUUGAAACUGUUAUUCUAGAGUAUGGGAGAGGUAGGUGGAAUUCUUGGUGUAGGGGUAAAAUCCGUAGAGAUCAAGAGGAAUACUCAUUGCGAAGGCGACCUGCUAGAACAUAACUGACGCUGAUGCGCGAAAGCGUGGGGAGCAAACAGGAUUAGAUACCCCAGUAGUC